UACGUAGGGCGCAAGCGUUGUCCGGAAUUAUUGGGCGUAAAGAGCUCGUAGGCGGCCUGUUGCGUCCGCUGUGAAAUCCCGGGGCUCAAUCCCGGGCCUGCAGUGGAUACGGGCUGGCUCGAGUUCGGUAGGGGAGACUGGAAUUCCUGGUGUAGCGGUGAAUGCGCAGAUAUCAGGAGGAACACCGUGCGGAAGGCGGGUCUCUGGGCCGAUACUGACACUGAGGAGCGAAAGCGUGGGGAGCGAACAGG
rnacentral:rRNA from 1 species